AUACAGAGGGUGCAAGCGUUAAUCGGAUUUACUGGGCGUAAAGCGCGCGCAGGUGGCUAAUUAAGUCAAAUGUGAAAUCCCCGAGCUUAAAUUGGGAAUUGCAUUCGAUACUGGUUAGCUAGAGUAUGGGAGAGGAUGGUAGAAUUCCAGGUGUAGCGGUGAAAUGCGUAGAGAUCUGGAGGAAUACCGAUGGCGAAGGCAGCCAUCUGGCCUAAUACUGACACUGAGGUGCGAAAGCAUGGGGAGCAAACAGGAUUAGAUACCCUGGUAGUCCAUGCCGUAAACGAUGUCUACUAGCCGUUGGGGCCCUUGAGGCUUUAGUGGCGCAGCUAACGCGUGAAGUUGACCGCCUGGGGAGUACGGCCGCAAGGUUGAAACUCAAAUGAAUUGGCGGGG
rnacentral:rRNA from 1 species